UGUCAAUGAGUUCCAGGUGUUCUCACCUUCAGCAGAGACUGUUUGUGUCCGCAGACCUUACACGUCCACCUGCUCACCUUCUUUACCUGACAGACACAGCACAGCUGCUUCACCCAACACCAGCAGGAGAACGCCCCGGUUGGAUUCGGCUUCUUCUUUUAUCAUCCACAGGUGUGAGGACAUCUGGAGCUGUCACCGUCACAUAAGUUUAGAAAGACAAAGAUGAACAUCAACAAUGAUAUAACAGUACCACAGUAGCAGAGGGGGUCUGUUUCCAGAACCAGAACCAGGAGCCGGUUGUGUUUUCUCUUCUGCGGUUUCAUACUGAAGUCAUGCAGCAAGGCUCAUCUGUCCUGAAUUAACAGCCGCUGUCAUUCAUCUCUACAAAAACAGACUAUAACAGACUGGAGACACCAACCUGCAGCUGAAACUGGAUCUUUAUGAACCAAAGACCACUCAAAACGCUUUCAUCAUAUACUGAUGACAUUAGCUGUCAUGCAAGGUGCCAACUGCUCAUCAGUUUUAGGAGCUAACCAUUCAUACACAUUUGAACACUGAUGGUGAGGCCUUCGGGAGCAGUUUGGGGUUCAGUAUCUUCAACUGGAGGAGUCAGGGAUCAAACCGCCAAUCAUCUGAUUAGUGGACGACCUGCUCUGCCUCCUGAGCCACAACCUACUAAAGUGUAUUAACACAGAGAAGAUCAUAUUCUCGGUGUUUGAAGUAAAGGAGACUUAAGGUUCACUCUGUGAGGCUUUCACAGCGUCACAUUAAACGCAGCAAAAAGGAGCUCUGUUUCAGUUGGACCCGGGUUCUGUUGACCUCACCUGGACCACAUUAAUAUUUCAGAGCUCUGAUCCUCCUUCAGCAGCAGUGAGGAAACGUGCAUGCAGGAAACGUGCACGCAGGAAACGUGCACAGAUUACAGAUGAUUUAAAUUGACGCUUUGCAAACCAGCAGAGAGUUGAACCCAGACUGAACCCUGAGCCCUCUGAACGGGCCAUUAUUCAGAACUACACACACACUUUUCAUUUUUUUCAGCUUUAUUUUACAAAACAGUAAAAACUUCAUCAGGUCACUCUAUGUUUGAAUUCUUCUGUUCGGGGGUUCAAACCUGCGACAUGCUGCAGGACAACAACAAAAACACUGCAAAAAUUUGACAUGUGAAAGUUCAAAAAAGUGACUUUUGGUCAAAGCUAGUUUUUUUUACCAGUACACAGAAAUAAAAACAGUCUGGUAAUUUUUUUUUUUUUUUUUUUAAAGAUUUCUUCUUCUGUCGACAAACUGACGUCUGACAAAGAAGAGAAAUCCUCCUCAGAACCUCACACUUCGAUUCAUCUCAUUUGUUCCUAUUUGGUGUUGGCCCACCUUGUCUCCUUCACUUAGUGGUUUCCUACAUUUCCCACAAUGCCAUGUUUAAUUUUUAUACAUUCCCAUGACUCUAACAGGUGGUUGAACUAGUUACUGUUAAAUGUUAAAUUCUUGUUUUAUUAAACACACAAACUUUUAACU